AGAGGAUGAAGUUGGACCCCACCUUCAAAUUGGGUCCUUAAAAAAGUUUAGGAUUUUAGUAAGUUGGUGUGUCUUGCGAUGGAUAUGAAAGUAGACUUUUGCACUUAUUUGAGGAACUGGAGGCUAGUAGGGGAAAAGGAAUAAGUAAACAAGGUGGUAAAUCAGGAAGAAAGGGUAACCGUGAACUUAAGCGGCUCAAAUG
rnacentral:lncRNA from 1 species